rnacentral:rRNA from 1 species
UACGGAGGGGGCAAGCGUUGUUCGGAAUCAUUGGGCGUAAAGGGCGCGUAGGCGGCCGUCCAAGUCGGGUGUGAAAUCCCUCGGCUCAACCGAGGAACUGCACUCGAUACUGGUUGGCUAGAGUCCGGGAGGGGAUGGUGGAAUUCCCAGUGUAGCGGUGAAAUGCGUAGAUAUUGGGAAGAACACCGGUGGCGAAGGCGGCCAUCUGGACCGGAACUGACGCUGAGGCGCGAAAGCUAGGGUAGCAAACGGG